CAUAGAAUGACCUUCCACACCAGACCGCUGCAUGUAACCAGUUGCCUAGCACGGUUAGAUACAGUAAUCAUAUCAAAGCAUCGCUGCUUAGGUUCCCAAUGACAUACGGUAAACAUAUCAAAGCGCUGCUUAGGUUCCCAAUGACCCGGAACAAUUUUGACCGGACCAAACGAGUUAUUGACUCGUAUUUCUGAAUCUCCACUCUCCCAGUCUCCAUUCCUCUAUCUUUCUCUCUCUCGUUUCGACUUCCGUACCGAAAGUGAAAUCCUCUGGGUUUAAAUUUGGAGAAAAUCAUCAUCUGAUUGCAGACACGGCUUCAUCUCUGUAUCGACAAGCUCUGAUGUCUGGGUUUAAUUUUGAAGAAAAUCAUUGCAGACUUGGGUUUCAUCGACAAGUUCCAAUGUUUGGGUUUGAUUUUGUGUCUUUAGAUUCAAUUCUGGUCCUAUUAUUCUUAUCAAACUGCUUAUAGAUAAUAAACUUGUGCUUGCAACGAAGGAAGACAGUUCUUUCGGUAUUAAGUUUCAAUCAAUAAGCCAUUGCCGAGCUUUUGGAUGGAAAAUGUGCCAAACUCCUGUGAGCAUCUCCCGUAUGCAACUAAACUCUAUUUCGCUUUAUGCAUAGUGUAGCACAGUUCAGUAUUAAGUCACUGUUACAGUUUCAAAUUUAAUUUUUAAGUAGUUUUGUUUUAGUAUGCUUCUGUUUCUUUUAGUUUGUUAUUAGAGAAUAACCUUAGUGGAUUUACUCGUUCAACUAGUUGUGAACGUGGUUAGUUGAGUCCCUAGUCAGUAGUAGGAGUCAUUAGUUGUCUUUUGAAUUAGUGUGUUUACUUUCCUAGUUUGUAGGAUCUACGGUUGCAUGGGAAUAUCUUGUAUCCUUAUUUCAAGAGAUAUGAAUGGAAGGAAAAGAUAUGCAUUGAGAAACUUAACUUUUGUUUAACAACUGUGUUAUUCGGAGGCUAGAUAGAGAAGAAAAAAGCUGUUUCGCCAAAGGUAUUUUCUUCUUCUUGUUCGGCUGAAUUUGAAAUCAAUUUCGGUACUUUUAAUUUCAUAAAUCUUUCCAGUUUCGGUUCUGAUUCAAUCCUGUGUAUUAUAUGUUAUUUUUGUUUUGCCCCAUGUUUACACAUAUGCUUUCCCGGUGGUUAACUUUGCCUUUAUCAUAUUAUGUUUUGAUUCACUCACAUCAUAUUCCUAUCUGCCUCUCUCUGUGUAUUUGUAUAUGUCCAUUUAUUUGUGCUUCUUAUUCCAUUCGAAAUAAUUGUUUACAAGGCUUAUUUCAAGUUACAAUUUACCCUUGGAUCUUCUUUUUCAAGUUUUAAUGGAUCGCUGUCACUACUAGAUCUAUUAUCAGCGACAAGUUCGUAUCUAACUUUUUAUGCAAUUAUUCACCCGAUACUAGAUCUAUGUAUACUAUUUUGCCGUACAGGAUUUGCAUUAUUGUCGGAACACUUUUUAUUUUCUCUAACUACUCUAUAUAUGUUUUGUGAACAUUGUGAUUAUUCACAAAAGAACAGGAAGACUAUUCACAAAAGAUCAUUCAAAUGGAGCACCAAGACACCUCAAAUGUUGCAUGUAUGAGGCCUGCUGAAGUUGACACUGCGACUAGUGGCGAUGCUAGUGUACCUCCAUCAAACACAUGUGGCUAGAGAGGUUUAUCACAACACUAAGUAUAAAGUGACGACACUACAACUCCUUGUGGGUUUAAACAACACAGGUACUUCGGCAGUAUCUACGUCUAAAGAUUAAUGGGGAAGCAGAAAGCAGGGCUAGCACCUCGCUGAAAAGCUGUUGAGGGAUUUCAAGGCACUGGUAAACUUCAUCUUUGACAAACAGAUCGUCAGCUGUAGGAGCAAGGCUAUAUCACAAGGAGUCUCUAAGUAUAAUUAGUAGUAAUUGAAGUAAUAUGAACUUGGUUGUUGGUUUUGUUGAUUAUGUUAAGUAAUUUCUUAGCAGACUUUAGUGCCAAGAUGGUCAGAACUCUUCCUCUAGGAGAGUUCAGUACUGUCAGUCGUAAUGACGGAUCAAGUAUUGUGAAGUAUGUGGACCUGCUUUACUUUUCUUCUUAAGAUUUUCUCUGUAACCAUGGUCACUUGAGAGUAAACGUAACCAUAGCAAGCAUGGAUAAAUAGCCUUGGCUAUUCCAAAAACCCUUAAUGCGGAGGAUCAGUUAGAUUAACGUGGGUCCUUCUUGAGAUAAUGGCUUGCGGUGAUGACACUAUUGUGGGCUAGAGUUUCUGAUUGGGGCUUUUCACCCUAACCCUUGGCUGUCUGAGUGUUAUUAUUUUCAUGUAGUUUUUAUUUAAUUGUGAAAAAUUGCACCCGUUACCAAUUCGGGAAGAUUGACAUUGGUUCUUCUUGAGAUAAUGGCUUGGGUUGCGAUAUCUAAUCUGUGGCCAUUCCUUAAUUUAUGGUGCAUUUCGACUUGUAGAAUGUGAUGUUCUUUUGCAGCUCAACAGUUGACAAGUUUUCUUUGGAGACACAUUUCAACAUUUUUUGAUGCGCAGUGGGAGUCAUUGGGUGUCAACUCUAUCUCGGAGUUUUGAGUUCAGCUUGUCGUGGGAGGGAGCUUAGGCAUUGUGCUAUGUCAACUGGGUUUCAGAUGAUGUAAUUUAAAUUUUAUGCUGGCAAACUUAGAUUUUUCUUCGUGAUCAGGCAUUUGGAUUAACUCAUUCGAGCAUAACUCUAACAACACGUUUGUUUUUUCCUUUAUAUAGGUAGAGUGUUCUAUAUAGAGGUUUACCUCUAUAUCUAUAUAAAUAUCACUAUAUAAUCUCUCUUAAAAUCAUGUUUG